rnacentral:rRNA from 1 species
AUACGUAGGGGGCAAGCGUUAUCCGGAUUUACUGGGUGUAAAGGGAGCGUAGACGGUGUGACAAGUCUGAUGUGAAAACCCGGGGCUCAACUCCGGGAUUGCAUUGGAAACUGCCAUACUUGAGUGCAGGAGAGGUAAGCGGAAUUCCUAGUGUAGCGGUGAAAUGCGUAGAUAUUAGGAGGAACACCGGCGGCGAAGGCGGCUUACUGGACUGUAACUGACGUUGAGGCUCGAAAGCGUGGGGAGCAAACAGGAUUAGAUACCCUGGUAGUCCACGCGGUAAACGAUGAAUACUAGGUGUUGGGGGUCUAUAGACCCUCGGUGCCGCAGCAAACGCAAUAAGUAUUCCACCUGGGGAGUACGUUCGAAAGAAUGAAACUCAAAUGAAUUGACGGG